rnacentral:rRNA from 1 species
AUUGAACGCUGGCGGCAGGCCUAACACAUGCAAGUCGAACGAGUGGCGGACGGGUGAGUAAUGUCUGGGAAACUGCCUGAUGGAGGGGGAUAACUCCUGGAAACGGUAGCUAAUACCGCAUACCAUCGGAUGUGCCCAGAUGGGAUUAGCGAGUAGGUGGGGUAAAGGCUCACCUAGGCGACGAUCCCUAGCUGGUCUGAGAGGAUGACCAGCAAGGUGGGAACUGAGACACGGUCCAGACUACUACGGGAAGCAGCAGUGGGGAAUAUUGGACAAUGGGCGAAAGCCUGCUGCAGCCAUGCCGCGUGUAUGAAGAAGGCAUUCGGGUUGUAAAGUACUUUCCGCGGGGAGGCGUUACCCGCAGAAGAAGCACCGGCUAACUCCGUGCCAGCAGCCGCGGUAAUUC